CACGGAAGUUUUCAGAGAUGAGAAUGUGCCUUCGGGAACCGUGAGACAGGUGCUGCAUGGCUGUCGUCAGCUCGUGUUGUGAAAUGUUGGGUUAAGUCCCGCAACGAGCGCAACCCUUAUCCUUUGUUGCCAGCGGUCCGGCCGGGAACUCAAAGGAGACUGCCAGUGAUAAACUGGAGGAAGGUGGGGAUGACGUCAAGUCAUCAUGGCCCUUACGACCAGGGCUACACACGUGCUACAAUGGCGCAUACAAAGAGAAGCGACCUCGCGAGAGCAAGCGGACCUCAUAAAGUGCGUCGUAGUCCGGAUUGGAGUCUGCAACUCGACUCCAUGAAGUCGGAAUCGCUAGUAAUCGUGGAUCAGAAUGCCACGGUGAAUACGUUCCCGGGCCUUGUACACACCGCCCGUCACACCAUGGGAGUGGGUUGCAAAAGAAGUAGGUAGCUUAACCUUCGGGAGGGCGCUUACCACUUUGUGAUUCAUGACUGGGGUGAAGUCGUAACAAGGUAACCGUAGGGGAACCUGCGGUUGGA
rnacentral:rRNA from 1 species